rnacentral:rRNA from 1 species
CACGUAGGGCGCGAGCGUUGUCCGGAAUUAUUGGGCGUAAAGAGCUCGUAGGCGGCCUGUUGCGUCCGCUGUGAAAACCCGCGGCUCAACUGCGGGCCUGCAGCCGAUACGGGCAGGCUAGAGUUCGGUAGGGGAGACUGGAAUUCCUGGUGUAGCGGUGAAAUGCGCAGAUAUCAGGAGGAACACCGGUGGCGAAGGCGGGUCUCUGGGCCGAUACUGACGCUGAGGAGCGAAAGCGUGGGGAGCGAACAGG